GUAUGCAAAUGAGAAAAUGAAUGUAAAGUUAGAAAGAUAUUCACAGAUUCAAACUUCCGGGAUCAAUAAAUCUUAGCUGAGACGUUCUUAAAACACAAACGAUGCCUAUGUGCAAUUAUAAUAGCAUAAACUACGAGCUACAAGGACCAAAAUGUUGAUUUUU